GUGAGUGAACCAUGAUUAACUUGAACUUGGAGAGCAAGACUAGAUCAAGUGACCAUGAUUCUUUGUGUGGUGAGCAAGAAUAGAUCAAAAGGCCAUGUUUAAUUCAAGCUUUCUAUAUAAUUAUAUGAAUAGGAAAAAUCACAUAAUUCAUUCAUUUCUUUCCUCAAAACCGUGAGCCUUCCUUAUCAUGCCUAACCCUUCACCAAAAUUCCAUUUCUUCACCAAAAUCAUUCAUUAGAAGCUUGUUGGAACCAUGAGAGUUCAUGGAUCAUUAUCCCUAAGCUAGAGCAAGCAAGAGAGCAAAGCAAGAGGGUGCUAGGGCUUGAGAAAGAGAGGAGCUCAUGAGAGCUAGAACAUGAGGAGCUUGAGGAUUCAUCAAAUUUCUAAGAUAUCCAGAUUGACAGGUUAUAUGUUAGCUUGUCCGAGUAGCGUGGUGAAGCUCCGCUCUGAUUGUGACACGGGGA